UCCACUUAAGCAUAUGUUUGCUUUUUGCUGAAGAAAUGAUAUAAUUUGUGCAAAGCUCAUGGAUCUCAUCUCAUGUUACAAGAACACUAUAAUAACAGCAGUACCUUGAGGCAGCAAGCAGAAAGCAGAGCCCACAAAGAUUUACAGUGUACCUGGCAGAGAUAACUGCUGCACAUCCAUGUCUAACACAAGCAGUCUGCAGGCAGGAAAGAAUUCAAUGCCUGAAAUGAGAGUGAAAAUUGUUGGAAGCAAAUAUAUACGCUAUAGGGUAGAUGAACCAGAGAAAAUACAGACCACGACAGAAGAAGAUGUUGUCUCACAGAUAAUGAAGAAUUUUAGUAACCUGAAUGAUUUAAAGAGUUUAAGACAAAGUUUCCAAAGGAGAGACCAGGCAUCCUGUGGUUUUCUGCCCCCG